rnacentral:rRNA from 1 species
GACGAACGCUGGCGGCGUGCCUAAUACAUGCAAGUAGAACGCUGAAGGAGGAGCUUGCUUCUCUGGAUGAGUUGCGAACGGGUGAGUAACGCGUAGGUAACCUGCCUGGUAGCGGGGGAUAACUAUUGGAAACGAUAGCUAAUACUGCAUAAGAGUAGAUGUCGCAUGACAUUUGCUUAAAAGGUGCAAUUGCAUCACUACCAGAUGGACCUGCGUUGUAUUAGCUAGUUGGUGAGGUAACGGCUCACCAAGGCAACGACACAUAGCCGACCUGAGAGGGUGAUCGGCCACACUGGGACUGAGACACGGCCCAGACUCCUACGGGAGGCAGCAGUAGGGAAUCUUCGGCAAUGGACGGAAGUCUGACCGAGCAACGCCGCGUGAGUGAAGAAGGUUUUCGGAUCGUAAAGCUCUGUUGUAAGAGAAGAACGAGUGUGAGAGUGGAAAGUUCACACUGUGACGGUAUCUUACCAGAAAGGGACGGCUAACUACGUG